rnacentral:rRNA from 1 species
CAAUAGCGUAUAUUAAAGUUGUUGCGGUAAAAAAGCUCGUAGUUGGAUUUCUGUUGAGAGCGACCGGUCCAUACCAUGUAUGCGUAUCUGGCUUGCUCUCGGCAUCCUCUCGAUAGACGUUACUGCGCUUGAUUGCGUGGUGCGGAUCUCGGGACUUUUACUUUGAGGAAAUUAGAGUGUUCACGGCAGGCUUUCGCCAGAAUACAUUAGCAUGGAAUAAUACUAUAGGAUCUUGGUUCUAUUUUGUUGGUUUCUAGAAUUGAGAUAAUGAUUAAUAGGGACAAUUGGGGGCAUUCGUAUCAACACGUCAGAGGUGGAAUUCUUGGAUUGUGUUGCGACGAACUACUGCGAAAGCAUUUGCCAAGGAUGUCUUCAUUGA